GUCUCCCAUCUUUACAAAAAAAAAAAAAAAAAAAAACUGUGAGCAGGUGUCGCACAUGGUUCAAGGUUUACUUACCUUUUGGUACUG